UGCUUACCAAGUUCUAAGGCCUUACUGAUUUCCAGUCAACUUGUUCUAUCCAUUAUUGAGAGACGAGUGUUAUAGUCAGCAACUAUAAUUAGCCGUCUGUUCUCAGGCCAAGCUUGCUUCCUACUCUGCCAUAAGGUGAGCCAUCUCUACCUGCCUGGAGAUGGACCUGCGGUCAUCCAGUUCCACCAGUGCCUGGCUGGAGCUAUAAGUUGGUGCUGUUUGCCAGGGUUGGUGUCUACAGAGGGCCAGGGGAAUUCCAAGCGAGGGACUCAAGGAGAGCUUCUUGGACUCCUCAAGUUCUACCAGGAGGCAGUGCUAUGGUGUGCCCAACCCUCCCAGGGGCCUAAGUGGCCACCCUCUUGGGAAUGCCCAAAGCAUCUGCUAUUUAGGACUUGGUUACAGAGCACCAUCAGCUUCCCCAAGUUUGCAAGCAAGCAUUUUCCCAGGAGAUAGAGUGGCCAAGGUAUUGCUUGUGUCUGACCCCC